UACAGAGGGUGCGAGCGUUAAUCGGAAUUACUGGGCGUAAAGCGCACGUAGGUGGCGACGUAAGUCGGGUGUGAAAGCCCCGGGCUCAACCUGGGAAUUGCAUUCGAGACUGCAUUGCUGGAGUACGGAAGAGGAAGGCGGAAUUCCCGGUGUAGCGGUGAAAUGCGUAGAUAUUCGCAAGAACACCAGUGGCGAAGGCGGCUGACUGGUCCGGUUCUGACGCUGAGGCGCGAAAGCGUGGGGAGCAAACAGG
rnacentral:rRNA from 1 species